rnacentral:rRNA from 1 species
AGUGAACGCUGGCGGUAGGCCUAACACAUGCAAGUCGAACGGCAGCACAGUAAGAGCUUGCUCUUACGGGUGGCGAGUGGCGGACGGGUGAGGAAUACAUCGGAAUCUACUUUUUCGUGGGGGAUAACGUAGGGAAACUUACGCUAAUACCGCAUACGACCUACGGGUGAAAGCAGGGGAUCUUCGGACCUUGCGCGAUUGAAUGAGCCGAUGUCGGAUUAGCUAGUUGGCGGGGUAAAGGCCCACCAAGGCGACGAUCCGUAGCUGGUCUGAGAGGAUGAUCAGCCACACUGGAGCUGAGACACGGUCCCGACUCCUACGGGAGGCAGCAGUGGGGAAUAUUGGACAAUGGGCGCAAGCCUGAUCCAGCCAUACCGCGUGGGUGAAGAAGGCCUUCGGGUUGUAAAGCCCUUUUGUUGGGAAAGAAAAGCAGCAGGUUAAUACCCCGCUGUUCUGACGGUACCCAAAGAAUAAGCACCGGCUAACUUCGU